rnacentral:rRNA from 1 species
AUUGAACGCUGGCGGCAGGCUUAACACAUGCAAGUCGAGCGGGGAAAAGUAGCUUGCUACUGGACCUAGCGGCGGACGGGUGAGUAAUGCUUAGGAAUCUGCCUAUUAGUGGGGGACAACAUCUCGAAAGGGAUGCUAAUACCGCAUACGUCCUACGGGAGAAAGCAGGGGACCUUCGGGCCUUGCGCUAAUAGAUGAGCCUAAGUCGGAUUAGCUAGUUGGUGGGGUAAAGGCCUACCAAGGCGACGAUCUGUAGCGGGUCUGAGAGGAUGAUCCGCCACACUGGGACUGAGACACGGCCCAGACUCCUACGGGAGGCAGCAGUGGGGAAUAUUGGACAAUGGGGGGAACCCUGAUCCAGCCAUGCCGCGUGUGUGAAGAAGGCCUUUUGGUUGUAAAGCACUUUAAGCGAGGAGGAGGCUACCGAGAUUAAUACUCUUGGAUAGUGGACGUUACUCGCAGAAUAAGCACCGGCUAACUCUGUGCCAGCCGCCGCCGUAACAC